UACGGAGGGUGCAAGCGUUGUCCGGAUUUACUGGGCGUAAAGCGCGUGUAGGCGGCUGGUUAGGUGUGAUGUGAAAUCUUCCGGCUCAACCGGAAAACUGCAUUGCAAACCGGCCUGGCUAGAGUGCAGGAGAGGGAAGCGGAAUUCCAGGUGUAGCGGUGAAAUGCGUAGAUAUCUGGAGGAACACCGAUGGCGAAGGCAAUCCCCUGGGCCUGCACUGACGCUCAUGCACGAAAGCGUGGGGAGCGAACAGG
rnacentral:rRNA from 1 species